GGCUGGUACAAUGGUAGUGGGUUAUCAGAACUUAUUAACAUUAUCAUCACCAAAACUGGUAUACAACCCCCACCCCACUGCUAAAUUUGACUGGCUUUAU
ensembl:misc_RNA Y_RNA Y RNA